CCUACGGGGGGCAGCAGUGAGGAAUAUUGGUCAAUGGACGAGAGUCUGAACCAGCCAAGUAGCGUGAAGGAUGACUGCCCUAUGGGUUGUAAACUUCUUUUAUAUGGGAAUAAAAUGUUCCACGUGUGGGAUUUUGUAUGUACCAUAUGAAUAAGGAUCGGCUAACUCCGUGCCAGCAGCCGCGGUAAUACGGAGGAUCCGAGCGUUAUCCGGAUUUAUUGGGUUUAAAGGGAGCGUAGGUGGAUUGUUAAGUCAGUUGUGAAAGUUUGCGGCUCAACCGUAAAAUUGCAGUUGAAACUGGCAGUCUUGAGUACAGUAGAGGUGGGCGGAAUUCGUGGUGUAGCGGUGAAAUGCUUAGAUAUCACGAAGAACUCCGAUUGCGAAGACAGUUCACUGGACUGCAACUGACACUGAGGCUCGAAAGUGUGGGUAUCAAACAGGAUUAGAUACCCCAGUAGUC
rnacentral:rRNA from 1 species